ensembl:lncRNA
GGAUGGUUGCAGACGUUCGCAUUCAUGCAAGAAGAUGUCAGGCUGCCAAUACCUUUGGGUCGAUAGUCCAUGUGUUGGAUGAUGCACUGCCAUUGAUCAGAACAGGCCGUGUAUAUUACAGUUGACCAAAGCUAUACUUGGAUACAAGACUGAUGACUCAAUAACCAGUAUUGACAACAGUGAAGAUGGUUAUGUCCCAAGGCCAUCAGGAUCAUAAGAGGAAGGCAAUUUCUAUGAAGAAAAUCUGACCGGAGACAUGUCAGCGAUUCGGGCCAAACAGCCAAUAACCAAGGGAAAGGUGGGACAAAAGAGGCUCACACGUUAAGCAUGUUUCCUGCUUCCUUCAGUCAGUUCAUUUUCACUCUGUAGUCAAAUCAAAUGUUAUUGGUCACAUACACAUGGUUAGCAGAUGUUUAUGCGAGUGUAGCAAAAUGCUUGUGCUUCUAGUUCCGACCGUGCAGUAAUAUCUAACAAGUAAUCUAACAAUUUUACAACAACUACCGUUAUCUCUUCAACCGAUCGCUUCCCACACCUGCCCGCCUGCCCAGCAUCACUACUCUGGACGGUUCUGACUUAGAAUAUGUGGACAACUACAAAUAUCUAGGUGCCUGGUUAGACUAAACUCUCCUUCCAGACUUACAUUAACCAUCUCCAAUCCAAAAUUAAAUCUAGAAUCAGCUUCCUAUUUUGCAGCAAAGCAUCCAUCACUCAUGCUGCCAAAUGUACCCUCAUAAAACUGACUAUCCUACUGAUCCUUGGCUUCGGCGAUGUCAUUUACAAAAGAACCUCCAACACUCUACUCUGCAAAUUGGAUGCAGUCUAUCACAGUGUCAUCCGUUUUGUCAACUACCCACCAUUGCGACCUGUAUGCUCCCACUGCCUCCAGGUCAUCUAUAAGUCUUUGCUAGGUAAAGCCCCGCCUUAUCUCAGCUCACUGGUCACCAUAGCAGCACCCACCCGUAGCACGCGCUCCAGCAGGUAUAUUUCACUGGUUACCCCCAAAGCCAAUUCCUCCUUCGGUCGCCUUUCCUUCCAGUUCUCUGCUGCCAAUGACUGGAACGAACUGCGAAAAUCACUGAAGCUGGAGACUCAUAUCUCCCUCACUAGCUUUAAGCACCAGCUGUCAGAGCAGCUCAUAGAUCACUGCACCUGUACAUAGCCCACCUGUAAUUAGCCCAUCCAACUACCUCAUCAUCAUACUGUUAUCUAUUUGAUUUAUUUUUCUCCUUUGCACCCCAGUAUCUCUACUUGUACACUCAUCUUCUGCACAUCUAUCACUCCGGUGUUUAAUUGCUAUAUUGUAAUUAUUUUGCCACUAUGGCCUAUUUAUUGCCUUACCUCCGUUAUCCUUCCUCAUUUGCACACACUGUAUACAGACAUUUUCUAUUGUAUUAUUGACUGUAUGUUUGUUUAUUCCAUGUGUAACUCUGUGUUGUUGUUUGUGUUGCACUGCUUUGCUUUAUCUUGGCCAGGUUGCAGUUGUAAAUGAGAACUUGUUCUCAACUAGGUUGAUAUCAGCUGCAUCCCUGAACUUCCAAAUCUCACUCCAGAAGCCCAGUGUGUUUUUUGUCUCAUUCCAUUUACUAAGAUGGAUGGCACGCCAUUGCUGGACAAUCUUAGUCUAUCUCUGCAGGGGAGUAGCCAAUGAGCUUGGCUAUUUUUUCUAUUUCUCCAGGGCUCUUAUUGUGCUUUAGAGUUUCCUCCACAUUGAAAACUGACAUGUACUGCAAUGCUUCGAUGUUGUCCGUCAGUCUCACCCUCAACACAUUAAUUAGUGAGGGAGAUGGUGAAGGCUACACACCGCUUUCAGACAUUGUUUUCAUCCUCAGGAGCAAGGUGGAGCUCAACUGCCUUUGACUCAAAAAGGUAACCAAGGUACGGUUUGGGACUGAUGUAUCCAUCUAUUUAUUGGCCUUUUGAGUACAUCAACAUUUGCCAGUGGAUUCAGCACCCUGCUGCUCACAGACUUGAUCAGGCUAACCAAGCUGUCAAGCAGCUUAAGAGGAUCUACUUGCUCUCCUUCAAAAGCCUUGAUGGCCAACUGUACCUCACCCAGCACUGACGUCAAAAAGUCAGAAACAAUAUGUUUUGAGGAUCACUGUACGUGGAGUAUAAAACCUCAACCAUGUAGCAGUGUUCACUGAACAUGGUGACAGCGAAAUGCAGCCUAAGAUCCUCCCACUGGUCCAAUAUGCGUGAAACCGCGGGUUCAAUGGAGAGCCAACGUGUGGCACACACCUUGGUUAUCUGUAAAGGUUUCUCCCCACAUUUGAUGGUCUCAUAUGGCCUUGUAGGCCUCCCUGCACAUUGGAGACACUGAAAACCAGUUAUAAAUGUCUCUCGUACCAAGUACUCCACACUACGGGGAUGGUGUCAUUGGAAGCAUGACUUACAGCAAGCUGCAGAGAGUGGCACACACAGCGAAUAAGAACCAGAUAUUUGAGGCCAUACUCCUCCUUCAGCACUUUAUGGACCCCAUUGUUAAUCCCCGUCAUAACAGAGGAAUUGUCAGUCCCUA